ensembl:lncRNA
AGAGAACCUAGGCGCUGCAGGUGGAGUUCUAGGGGCUCUGGCAGCGCCGCUAGCUCCCAGCACCAUUCCUGGCCGCGGAGCGCUGGGCGGAGGUCCAGGUGGCGACUCCCAGAGCAGCCCAGCUCCCGUCUCGCCACCCCCACCCUGCCCCAGCUAGGGGAAGAAGAUCCCGGACAGCACUGUCGAGCCCUGCCAGAUCAGAAAAAUAAAUAAAAAUAGACGUAGUGCAGGAGCGAGUUACAAGAAAGGAUUUGGUCAUCGAUUUUCUUAAAUGGAAAAGUUCUAAAGGAGGCGGCUGCCCUUCCCCUCCCCUCUCCAUCUUACCCUAGGCGAUAUAAAAUCAAAGCCCUGGAAAACAACUAUGUACUCAGCUUCCAAGGAAAACUUUCCAAGACAACCACCCUUCAGGUGAAGUCCCCCACUGCUAC